UGUCAAGAUAGUGGCGAUACUUUAUGUCCG
rnacentral:piRNA from 1 species